UGGACCAUCGUGUAGAGGAGCCAUCACUGAUGCGGCGGUUGCGCGGUAGCUCCAUCAGUCAGCUACGUGUGCUGGCCGAGAGGUUAGACUGCCGGUUCCAGCACCACUGGAUGCUGCUGCACCUGCAGCGGUAGUGUCUUAUUUAUGUUAUAUAAUUUUUGUAUUUUUAGUUUUAUUUUUUGAAUCAACAUAGGUAGCUUAUUAAUUAUCAUCAUAUUUAUCGUAUAAUUGUAUUACCUAUAGCUUUAUUAUUACUUAAUUUUACAGCACAUUGGCGCCCCUUAGCUGUAAUGCUGUAAAAUUGUAUCUCAAUAAAUAUCAAAUAAAUAAUGAUAAAAAAGGCACUUCACGCAAUAAACCGUUGUAAUACUAAAGCUAACAACUAGGAAGUCCCCAACCCGUCAAUCAAGCCACGUAAGGACCGCAAAUACGACAGAGAUGUCUGGGGUAAUAGUUUUUGACCGCAGUGUGACUGAUGCCUAACCGCGAGUUGGCACAGUGGGAAGACAGUAGGUCAGCUGAGAAAUUCUUUCGAAUGCGGCUAGGUUUCAAUUGGCUUUAGCAACUGACUGAUAUUGCAACUACGAUUUUAAAAAUCAUGGCCUGUAAAUUUUCUCUGUCCCUUUAUUAUACGACACGAAAAAAGUGUAAAGUUUGUUCUCGUAAGGAAAAGAGAGUAUCAUCAACAUAUAAUUGAUACUUAAAUAGAUAGAAGUUAGGUCGCCAAGACAAAAGUGCGACUUCAUGGCAAGUUGAUUUAGCACGCUCCCAUACACACAUCGGUUUUGAGCCAUUCAUCGCUCAGUCUUGAAUUCUACGUACAAUGCGUGUGUCGCGUGUAAACAUGAGGAACAACGACUCUUUGCCCCUGUCAAUCUUUCAACUCUCUGAUCUUCACAUAGACGUAUAAAUACAGUAAAAACCGGAAAAGUACGAGUCGGACUCGCCUUCUGAGGGUUUCGUACAAAUUUAACUUAUUUAUUCUUUACAAAUGUAAAGUUUUCAGAUUUUUCCCUGUACUUUAGGUAGUAUAAGACGAUAUUACUUAGUAUCGACAUAUACGUUUUUGAGGCAAAAAUGAUCGUAACUUUUUUUUACGUUAACUUAAAUGUUGGAUUGUUUCACAGUUUCAAGGGACUGCAGACCUGAGUAUACGGUUUUAAUUUAAACUCGAUUCCUCCACGCAUUCUCGAGGUACAGGGUCUUGACAGACAGACAGACGGACAACAAAGGGAUCCUAUAAGGGUUCUGCUUUUUCCUUUUGAGGUAAGGAAUCCUAAUAAAAAAAGAUAAAGUGUUCACAAUGUCGUUAUAUUUUAAAUUGAUCGAUUGAAUUGAUUUGAUAAAUCAUUUAGUUCUGACAUUUAGAGAUAUUUACACCUCUAAAUAAUUUUAGAUAUUUUUUUUGUAUCUGUUUUUUAUUAUUAUUAUUAUUUUAGUUAUUUUUUGUAAUUGUAUUUUAUACUUAAUUGUGGAUGUGCUUGUAUUUGCUUGUAUGUAAAUUCCAUGUUGACGUGUAAAAGUGCCCUUGUGGCCUAUUUGCUGAAUAAAUGUUGAAGUUGAAGUUGAAAUGUUGAAGCUGAAGAUCGCCUACUGUACUCAAUGUCUCUGUGCGCGAGAAAGUGGCCCCAGGUCGGCGCGCGCGCCACUGACGUAACAAAGAGUUCGCAAAUAGUUCGGCUGUUUUACUUCAAGCCGUACUACACUUUAUGUCCCUAGCAAUACAGAUCAAUUCAUACCGCACCGACCAAUGUAAUCGCACCAAUGAAGAUCGUGCGACAAUUAUUGCUUUUUUCUUAGCAUACUUUUUUAAAACUGUCACAUCUUUCGUACAACCCAUGCGAUUUUGAACUUUAUUAAAAUAUGUUUUGAAUUGAAUUUCGUUUAGUCGUCAAUUGAGACAUAUGAUUUUAAGGAGAUAAAUUAGUUUCUUGUAGUAUUUGUAGUAUUGACAUUGAAUGAUACUGUGACAUUUUUUAUUAUGAUAGAUUACGAAUGCAAUCUUUCUACUUCUCAACUGUUUGCGAGUGUGGCAUGUAGUGUAUGUGGUAAAUAUUUUACACAUAGCCGGGGUAACAUUCAUUUUAAUUUACUAUGGCAAGUACCAGAAAACCGCAGCCAAAUAACACUAGACCCUACUCAUAGUGUUGUGUUCCUGCCGGUGAGUAAGGUUGCCAGAGCUCAACGAGGGGGGGCGGGUUUAGGGUCAGCAACGCGCAUGUAACUCCUCUGGAGUUGCAUGCGUACAUAGGCUACGGAGACUGCUUACCACCAGGCGGGCCGUAUGCUUGUUUGCCACCGACGUAGUAUAAAAAAAAACACACCUAAUUUUGCACCUAAAUUGUACCUUUUUUAAUAACACGACGAUGGCAAACAAGCAUACGGCCCGCCUGAUGGUUAGCAGUCAUCGCAGCCAACUACAGAGGUGUUACAUGCGCGAUGCCGACCCUUUAAAAACCUGUACACUCUUUUUUUGAAGAACCCCAUACUGUAGACCCUGAUUCUCAUAGAGCUCAUUCCGCUGCCGGAGCGUCCGCGGGAGUAAAUUCCUCUCAAACCGCACAGUACGCGAUCAUUUAGGUUCUAGGGUGGUAGGAUGAACACUCUGCAGACGGCGAGCAGUGCGGUGAUAGAAAAUGGCUGUUGGCUACAUGUCAAACAAAAAAAAAAUUAUAAAAUGCUACGCCCGCCGCGAGCACUACAAAGUUGCAUCCAACACAGUUUUUAGGUUUACUAUAACAAUCCAUGUUCAUACACUGUCCAUCUUGUAGUAUUAGGUGGUCUGGGGACCUAUCAAAGUAAAUUUAAAAUCAUGUUUGGAUAUCAUGGCGUGAGUUAUCGUCGGAUCUGUCAUCCCGAUAGGUAAGCAAUUACAAUUUUUGUGUUCAAUUGAUGUCUCGAUUGGUAACGAUUCUCACUUUGCCUACGGGCCAUAUUUUGACCCGUUGUAUCUUAUUGUGCUUUGUUCCUACUGUAAGGCCUGAGUGGACGCUUAACUUGGGAAAACGUACAGGAGCGGCCUUAAGUGUAAGGCCUGAGUGGACGCUUGAGUUGGGCGUGCAGCGGGGCAGGGCGUGCGGCGUGCAUGUUAAACAAAUGCAAACAUAUAGGAGCGGCCUUAGUGCACGCUGCUCAAAUCACUUGUGAGUCCAACGCCACGCUGCACGCCCCGCUGAACGCUCCGCUUCGAGCGUCCACUCAGGCCUUACACUUAAGCUGGCCGGUAUCAAAUCGGUGAGCUUGGUGAAUAAUUAUUAAGUUGUAGUAUGCAAUUGACCUCGAUGACUUUGGUUGUAAAGUCAAGGGCAACAGUUGGUUUAUUUUUGUUAAAUUUAGUACUUAAUAAUCUUGUUGUGUCCUGGAGAAUGCAUGUUUCGUUCUUUUUUCGUUGGUUAAAUAAUGUCUGUUAAUUUUGCAAAACAAUCAUAUUCGAAAAAAAUGUACAAAAUAAAAUAUUUAGGUACA